rnacentral:lncRNA from 1 species
GACUUUGGCUAGACUGGCAUCUAUUAAUAAAUCUGAUUUAUUCAUAGGCCUAAUCAUAUGCAAUUUAGCAAUACAUUAGAGUUUCUUUUUCUAGACAUUUUCACUUCUGUACAACACAUAGAUACUCAUAAAUUUUACUAUGUAGAGAAAAAAGAUGAGUUGAUCAACAGGUUGUGAUGAGACUUUGGCUUUCAAAUCACUUAAUGUUCUUGUAUAUACUGAGAUAACUAAAUUUUUUUAAAA